GGAUGCCGAUCAUACCAGCACUAAAGCACCGGAUCCCAUCAGAACUCCGAAGUUAAGCGUGCUUGGGCGAGAGUAGUACUAGGAUGGGUGACCUCCUGAGAAGUCCUCGUGUUGCAUUCCC
rnacentral:rRNA from 1 species